AAGUGCAAUUGGCAAGCAAAAGGAAAUGCUGGACGAGGAGAGGAUGAUGAGGCACCUAAUUGUGGGCUUGGGAAGUGACUUGUCGACCCUGCCCUGAGAGCCUGCUCGAGAAGGUUGGCAAACGCUCCUCGUCCUGCUGUGAAUCCCUCAGGCUUGUGAGGGACGACAGAUGGUUGAGCUAAACUCGGAGCCACCCCUCUACAUAAUGAAGAAAAAUGACCAGCCUCCUGUAGCUGGUAAUCACCCACCCCCUGGGCGACGGAGCACAGCAAGCCCUGGUCCUCGUGUUCCAGCAGGCACAUUUCAGAGCCAGGACGGCUACACAGAAGCCAGGCCUUCCUGUCUCUGUGCUACUCUUUGGCACCGAAACGAUUUCAACGGGACGAUGGAUUUAUAAGACGAUGUCUUUCUUAUUAUAACAGGUGCCUUUUCAAUUUUUUGAUUCUAAAGAGGUUUGCAAUGUCUGGAAUUUUCCUGACAGCAUGCUUUUCAGCAUGGUCUUAAGUUUCAGUUUUUAAAAAAACCUGAGAACCAGGCUCUUUACAUCCAUCAUAUCAUUUACUACUGUAACGGCUACUAGGGCUGCGUUCCUGAGCUCUUCCAUGGGUUAGGCCCCAUGCUGAGUACUUUACCUGGAUCCUCUGAGCUCUUCACAACAACCCCAUGGAGUAGGACAUGGGUACCUCCCGUUCUCAGAUGAGGAAACUGUCCCUGGCUCAGGUUCACUCAGCUCUGAGUGGUCGAGUCCAGCCGUGACCCUUGUCUCUGGGGAAUUUGCACUCCCAGCCAUCACAUCUGCAGCCCUACAAGAUAAAUAGAUACAAAUGCUACCAAUUUUAAAGAAAACGAGACUGAGGCUUAGAAAGGCAUAGAAUCCAGGACUCAGGUCCCUCUGACUUUAAAGCCACGUUGCUCUCCGAGGCGCCAGUUGCCUCUGGUCAUACCUUGUGAACAAAGCAUUACUUUCAAUGAAUUACUCUAUCGCUACCUGACCCUGAAUCCUGGGAUCUUCAGAGUGAGCU
rnacentral:lncRNA from 1 species